rnacentral:tRNA from 1 species
GGAGCGUGGGUCUGCUUGGCGAAGACGAUGCCCUGUCACGGCAUAAAUGAUGGGUUCAAAUCCCAUACGUUCCGC